GUGGGGAAUCUUAGACAAUGGGGGAAACCCUGAUCUAGCCAUGCCGCGUGAUCGAUGAAGGCCUUAGGGUUGUAAAGAUCUUUCAGGUGGGAAGAUAAUGACUGUACCACCAGAAGAAGCCCCGGCUAACUCCGUGCCAGCAGCCGCGGUAAUACGGAGGGGGCUAGCGUUGUUCGGAAUUACUGGGCGUAAAGCGCACGUAGGCGGAUUGGAAAGUUGGGGGUGAUAUCCUGGGGCUCAAUCCCGGAACUGCCUUCAAAACUCCCAGUCUUGAGUUCGAGAGAGGUGAGUGGAAGUCCGAGUGUAGAGGUGAAAUUCGUAGAUAUUCGGAGGAACACCAGUGGCGAAGGCGGCUCACUGGCUCGAUACUGACGCUGAGGUGCGAAAGCGUGGGGAGCAAACAGGAUUAGAAACCCCAGUAGUCC
rnacentral:rRNA from 1 species